rnacentral:rRNA from 1 species
GACGGAAGGUGCAAGCGUUGCUCGGAAUCACUGGGCGUAAAGGGUGCGUAGGUGGCGCUGUAAGUCGGGUGUGAAAUUUCGGAGCUUAACUCCGAAACUGCAUUCGAUACUGCGGUGCUUGAGGACUGGAGAGGAGACUGGAAUUCAUGGUGUAGCAGUGAAAUGCGUAGAGAUCAUGAGGAAGACCAGUGGCGAAGGCGGGUCUCUGGACAGUUCCUGACACUGAGGCACGAAGGCCAGGGGAGCAAACGGG